CCAGGAAAACCCACAUUUUACUGCUGAAUUGGAGCAAGUGGCAAUCUGCAGAAAACUCCAUUGCCAUUUGCUCCAAUUCAGCAGGAAAAUGUGGAUUUCCCC